rnacentral:rRNA from 1 species
CAGUCGCCGCGGGAAUACGAAGGGGGCUAGCGUCGUUCGGAAUUACUGGGCGUAAAGCGCACGUAGGCUGCUUUGUAAGUUAGAGGUGAAAGCCUGGUGCUCAACACCAGAACUGCCUUUAAGACUGCAGAGCUAGAACGUCGGAGAGGUGAGUGGAAUUCCGAGUGUAGAGGUGAAAUUCGUAGAUAUUCGGAAGAACACCAGUGGCGAAGGCGGCUCACUGGACGACUGUUGACGCUGAGGUGCGAAAGCGUGGGGAGCAAACAGGAUUAGAUACCCGCGUAGUCCCUGUCUCUUAUAA